AUACGUAGGGAGCGAGCGUUGUCCGGAAUUACUGGGUGUAAAGGGAGCGUAGGCGGGAGUGCAAGUCAGAUGUGAAAUGCAUGGGCUUAACCCAUGAGCUGCAUUUGAAACUGCAUUUCUUGAGUGAAGUAGAGGUAAGCGGAAUUCCUGGUGUAGCGGUGAACUGCGUAGAUAUCAGGAGGAACACCGGUGGCGAAGGCGGCUUACUGGGCUUUUACUGACGCUGAGGCUCGAAAGCGUGGGGAGCAAACAGGAUUAGAUACCCUGGUAGUCCACGCUGUAAACGAUGAUUACUAGGUGUGGGGGGACUGACCCCUUCCGUGCCGCAGUUAACACAAUAAGUAAUCCACCUGGGGAGUACGGCCGCAAGGUUGAAACUCAAAUGAAUUGACGGGG
rnacentral:rRNA from 1 species